UUGGAGGGCAAGUCUGGUGCCAGCAGCCGCGGUAAUUCCAGCUCCAAUAGCGUAUAUUAAAGUUGUUGCAGUUAAAAAGCUCGUAGUUGAAUUUCGGGAUCAAUACGUCGGUCGUGCCUUCGGUACGUACUAAUGUCAUUGAUUUCUCCCUUCUGAUGAAUCAUGAUGUCAUUAAUUUGAUGUUGUGGGGAGUCAGGACUGUUACUUUGAAAAAAUUAGAGUGUUUAAAGCAGGCACGCGCUUGAAUACAUUAGCAUGGAAUAAUGAAAUAGGACGUUCGAUUCUAUUUUGUUGGUUUCUAGGAUCAACGUAAUGAUUAAUAGGGAUAGUUGGG
rnacentral:misc_RNA from 1 species